rnacentral:rRNA from 1 species
GACGAACGCUGGCGGCGUGCUUAACACAUGCAAGUCGAACGCUGAAGCUCAGCUUGCUGGGUGGAUGAGUGGCGAACGGGUGAGUAACACGUGAGUAACCUGCCCUCUUCUUUGGGAUAACGCCCGGAAACGGGUGCUAAUACUGGAUAUUCACUGAUUCCCGCAUGGGGGUUGGUGGAAAGGUUUUUUCUGGUGGGGGAUGGGCUCGCGGCCUAUCAGCUUGUUGGUGGGGUGAUGGCCUACCAAGGCUUUGACGGGUAGCCGGCCUGAGAGGGUGACCGGUCACAUUGGGACUGAGAUACGGCCCAGACUCCUACGGGAGGCAGCAGUGGGGAAUAUUGCACAAUGGGCGAAAGCCUGAUGCAGCGACGCCGCGUGAGGGAUGGAGGCCUUCGGGUUGUAAACCUCUUUCGCUCAUGGUCAAGCCGCAGCUUUGGGUUGUGGUGAGGGUAGUGGGUAAAGAAGCGCCGGCUAACUACGU